ensembl:lncRNA
UUUUUUUUUUUUUUUUUUUUUUUUUUUAAUGGCCGCACGUUUGGCACAUGGCAGGUCCCAGGCUAGGGGUCAAAUAGGAGCUGCAGCUGCUGGCCUACACCACAGCCAUGCACGCAAUGCCAGAUCCAAGCUGACCUACAUGCUGCAGCUUGCAGCAAUGCUGGAUCCUCAAACAACUGAGUGAGAUCAGGGAUCAAACUCAAAUCCUCAUGGAUACUAGUUUGGGUCUUAACCCACUGAGCCACAAUGGAACUCCCGUAUUUAGCAAUCUUAAUUCACCAAGAAGUUAACCAUACAACAUAUCUGUGAUCAAGGUGGGGCUAUGACAGGAAGGUACAGCUCUGAGCCCUGGGCUCAGAGAUUAGCAGUCUCCUUGUGCCAUUCUUACCACAGGUAGUGGCCUUACUAUGUAAUGGCUGGAGGUUUGGGGCAACUGCCAGCUGACUUGUCCUCCUCUUGUCCCAUCCAGGACCACUGUGUUUAAGAGACAAGUAAAUGGCCAUGAGGAGAGAGACAGGACUAAUCUUUCAGGAAUAUAUCCAUCAAUGAAGCUAUUUACUCUCCGCCAUAGGUCUUUCUCACAUUCCAUGACUACCAGACUACCCAGCUUUGAUCCGAUGUGAACCUAUGUAAUCCUAGGUCUAGCACUUUGACCCAUGCUGUUGAACCCACAGUCUUCCCACAUAUAUACAACUUACUAGAUUUGGCCCUUUAAGAAACUGAAUUAGCUCUUUCAGAUCAAAACAAGGGUCUACUUAUUUCACAGAAGCAGUAAUUCAGUUAUAGUUGUCCUGGUGGCCUAAAAAAGUCAAUGCUGCUUCCAGAGGUGCCUGAUUUACUCCCUGAAUGUAAUUUAUGUACUGGGAAAAAUCUGAUUUGGUGAGUCUUUGUUUUGUGUCACUCAGAAACAGGUCAAAAUUGAGAAUUCACAACAUGACCUUGGAAUUUGUGGCAAGGAUGCAGCACCACUCAAAAUGAAAAUAAUAAAUCCUCCACAUUCUGGAAGAGAUCUUUUUUGGGGGCGGCGGGGGGCAUGCAUUUUUCUUGCUCAAUUUUGCAACCCUUGCUCUAGGGAAGAGUUUCUCUGACGAGAGGCUGCUGCCAGCAUGACAAUUCAUUCCCACAGUAUCUAAUGCAACUCAAAUCACUGUGUGACAGUUGCUGAAGAAAAAACAUAGCAAUGACUCACACCAAAACCCUCUUUUAAUUCUGGAGUAUGGGCCCUUUCCUUUCAGUUAUUCUCUUGUCUUGUUUGUUUUCAGUGUGUCCAGGGAAUCUUAGAGAUUUGGAGUUAGGCGUGUGUCGUCACUUAGGUGGCAAAUGUUCUCAUUUCUUACCUCGCCAAAGAUGACAAAGCACAUGCCUGGAGAAGAUGAAAAGGUUGUAGUUUGUCACCAGGAAGUCGUCUCUCUGGGAUCCCUUCUCCUGUAAUCUUUUCUACAACCCUGCCCUUCCGUCUUUUAGCCUUGAUUUUAGUGUUGGGCUUUUGUUGUUGUCGUUGUUAGUUAAUGGGUGGUGUUUUUGAGUUAGACAUUCUAUGGAAGCAUGAAAAAAAAAAAAAAAAGUGAGGUCCCUUCUCAGAGAAUGCCUGUAACCAAAGGGGUCCAUAUCCUAUAAUCUUUUUCCUUUCUGAUUUGAAAAAUUUAAGGAAUGUCACUCAACUGUCUUCCUCCUUUAUCACAGUAAGAUGAUCACAUUUUAUUUUUCAUCAGGAAGCUGUGGAAUAACUCAGAAAGUUUAAAGAUAUUAAUUAGCAGUAGCCAUGUUUGAGUCAGGCAGAAUCUCAUUCCUACAACCUUGGGACUGAGAGCUUGGAUAACAAGGAAUUUUGGCCAGCAUGGUCAACAAGGGGGGGAGCUGGUAACUUUUUUUAAGCUUAAAAAAAAAACCCAAAACACCCAAAUGAAGCAUCCUUUGGUUUUGUCACCAGGCUGUAUGCUGACAAAGUGGGUUUCUAAGGUAGAUGUUCUCCAUUUGGAGCAGUCAACAAUGUUUAGCAAUCUGGACUUUCCACAACUCCAGAGACAAGCUGGAUGCUCCAGGGAGGAAGCUAGGGUACUAAUAUCCAAAACAUAUCGGUGCUGAGUAGGGCAUGAGGUUCAGGAUAUGGUUUCCAGCCCUUCAGCUAUCUCAGGACUAUACAUACAAACCACAUCGUGACCAUUUUUUUUUUAUUCUAAAGACUGGAGGAUGUAUGUAUGUGAACAUUUUAUACACCUGCUACUUCAUCUUUCCCAUGGCUUAUGUGCCCUUGGACACUGUCUUCCAGGUAGUAGUCAUGCAUUUAGGUUAGCAAAGCAAAGAAAUUUUCUAUCUCCCAGGAAAGUCAAGGGAAGAUUCAUAUAACUCUUUGAUUCCCUUAUGGUUCCUGGCGGGUAGCAGGUGCUCAAACACACACUUAUUGAUUAAAUCAGAUUUUGAACAAAUAAAAUCUGGAGAAAGAAAUUAGCUGUCAUAGCUCAAAGAUUGUCAUCCUCUCCUUUAGGUGAGCAGAAAAUCAGUUUCCAUUUAGCUUAAUCAUCUGCAUUUUUCCUUUCUUAUUGACACUUACUGGUUAGUGACUAUGCUUUGAAGUAGAAAGGAGACUGAUGAAGAGAUGGGUGAGCCCUGCCAUAUUUAGGUUCAUUCUGUAUUGCAAACUGCUUUGAGUUCAGAACAACGCAAAGCAUGUCUGGCAAAGCACUUUCCCUCAAUGUUUUAAGAGCAUGUGGACUUAGAUGGAAAUUUAAUCUGCAUGUUCAUUUACACGUAACUCAUCAAAACAUUUUAAACAGCUCUUUGAAGUCUGCAGAGCCUUUUCAAUCCAUCUUAUGGAAACUUUUCAAGCAUUUUGGGAGUUUUCCUAGGAAGCUGUGUUUGGCUAAGACCAAAUGUACUGGAUACUGAAACUGCUUACCCUCCAAAUAUUUCAUAUUGAGCUAAAUCCCAUAUCUUAUAUUCAUAUGAGCUAAAUUACUUGGCCAACCCAUUUCUUUAUUUCUAAAUCGAUGUCACCUGUUAAACGUUAUGGAGAGAGGGGCAAAUAAUUGAAACUUGAUGGACAAAAGCUGAACAUAAUAAUAUUCUAAUUAUGAAUAAAGGAUCCAUGGAUAAUUCAAAUUGACCAAAAGGAAAAAAAAAUUCAUUUGGUUUGAGAAUAACUAGUAUCUCUAUUAAAUGAUGAAACUUCUCAUUCCCAGAAACAUUUGUUUACUUUCAGUUAGACCCAUAAAAUAAUGACAGCUUUUUGGCAGAGAGUGGCACGGUCAUGUUUGCAUUUUGGUAGGAAGUUGUUCCAGCAGUAGAGGAUGGAUCUGAGGGCUGCCUGAUUUAGAUGCAGUGGUCUAGGUGAUGAGGUGAUGAAGUGGAAAGACAGGCAGAGAUUCCAGGGAUAUUUAGAAAGUCAGUUGCCAGGACUGGAGAAUGAUGCGUUAGCUUGGGUGAGUAGGUGGGUGGCAGUGAUAAGUGAGGUGAGGAAUAUAGGAAGAAGAGUGGGUUUAGGAUGAGAGAGAGAUGGCCAACUCCAUUACAGACAUGUACACUGAAAUACUGAAAUGUAAUGAGGUAUUAGACUCAGGAUUCUGAAGCUAUGAGGGGAGAUCUGGGCUAGAUAGAAAUUUGUCAGUUACCAGCUUAUAGCUGGGUAGUCGUAGGUGAGAGGUGGAUGAGCUUACCUGUGAAGGUUAGCAGACCAAGUCUGCAAUUGAGGAGAUAGAGGAGGGAUGGGGGAGGACAUGGCAUAAAGAAAAGGGGCUUUUCUGGGUGAUGGAAAUAUACGCAUGUUUUUAAGCCGAGGAAAUGGAACCUGCUGAGAGAAUGGAGAGUCUGAAGAGUUAGGGUUGAAGUGGGAUUUCUCAGGGAAAAAUGAUAGAAACAGUGUGGGUCUAGACUAGGUGGAGUCUUGCCCUGUUCGAGAGAGAGCACAUCCUCUGAGACUGGAGGGAAGAAGAUGAGAGAGAAGAAAGAAUUUUAAGAUAGAUGCAUAUGUACGUAUGAGUGUUGAGGCUUUUAAUUUUCUCAAGAAGUGGUAGACAAUGUGGUUGGUCAACAACUAUAAAUAUGAACACGCUUGAAAUAUGAGAAAGCUUGAGAAUCGUGAGCAGUAAAUAUAUAUUGAUAUGAGUAAAACAUAUAUGGAAUAUUUGCUCAAGGAAAUAAUAGACAACUGACCCAGCACAGGCAAAAGGCCUUGAAUUAGCCAUUUGCAGUGUCUUUCUGCUGUGAUGAAAAAGUAAACCAAGUCUUAAAACAAAAACAGAAAUGAAUAUAUAUUGGCCUACAUGAUUAGACAUCAAACAGUGUCCACAGGAAUUUUCAGGCUCUGAGUUUUCCUAAUGGUAAAGCAGGUGAUCCUUUGUGGUAGCAGCAGAUCCAGACUUUCACUCUACUUGGAAGGAUAAGAUUGAGUUUGAGAUACUAGAGGUAAGAUUUGCGAUGUGGAACACUAUUCAGGGUGACAUAUUGCAGAGUCUGGCCUUGCAAAGAGUUAUUUCAAGUAAAGUAGAGGUAGAAGUAGAGUGAGCUGAGGAAGUACAAGGCUAGGGUCAGCAUUUCUCCCAAGGACACAUUCAGAAUGACAGUGGAGUUGGGGUAAGAAGGACCGCUUUGAAAUACAUGCCAAUUUUCUACGAAUGAAAAGGAGUGACUGAGAAAUUGCUAGAUGACCGUAACAAGAAAGAAUGGUACAUGCCAUAAACAGAUGGCACAAGUGGGUGGUUUUUUCUUCCAAAAAGGAAAAAGGAUCAUGUUUGAAGGAGCAGUAGGAGUUAGAGAAUUCUGACUUCCAAGUGAUAGAAAUCCAAGUCUAAUUCAUUUAGAUUAAGGAGAAUUUAUGGAUAAAUGUGGCCCAGCUGAGGAGAGGGUGUGAAUAGAUGGAGUUGCUCCUGGGUGAUCAGAAUCAAGAAUGCCCCCAUCAAUGGCACUAUCUUUCUCUACCACUCUUUUUGCAUCUCUUCUCCUUUUGGCUUCUAUUUUCAUAUUUUCCAGCUUUGCUACAUAAGAACUUUCCCUCUUCUUUUAGCUCUAGUGUGAAAAUUUGGGGAGUGAGAAAACAGGCAUAGCCCAGUUAGGUGCCUGUUGUUGGGUCUAAUACUGUGGCCAGUGAUGUGGGGAGGCUAUGAUUCGUCCAGUUAGGAUCAAGAGUCCGGCUGUAGGAGUUCCCACUGUGGCUCAGCGGUAACGAUCCUGACUAGUAUCCACGAGGAUGUGGGUUCCAUCCCUGGCCCCUCUCAGUGGGUUAAGGAUCCAGUGUUGCCCUGACCUGUGGUGUAGGUCACAGACUGCUGGCUCAGAUCUGGUGUUGCUGUGGCUGGGGCAUAGGUUGGCAGCUAUGGCUCUGAUUUGACCUCUAGUCUGGGAACCUCCAUAUAACCUGGGUGUGGCCCUUAAAAAAAAAGAAAAGAAAAGAAAAAAGAUUCCAACUGUAGACCAAUCACGGUGCUUAGGGAGGCAAGAUCUGUAGAACUGUUUUCAGAAUAAAAGUUCAAGGUCUUACCAUGUCUUAUAGGCCAUGCCAUGUCCCAUCAGAUUCCCUGCCAGCUCUUCCACUACCUCCACAUUCCUGCCAUACAGUUCUCCCUGCCCUUCCUUGAAUGCAUCACAUGUGCUUGUGGAUCAGGAUUUCUGCCUCUGCUGUGCCACAGAAAUGCUUUCCCUCAAGAUGCCCGUGUGAUUCAGUUCUUCACUUCCGUUCAGGGCUCUACCCACAGGUCCCCUCCCAGAGAGAUCUUCUCUGACUGCUCUGUUCCAAGCAACACUACCAACUGUCUAAUCUCUAGCCUCCCCUGCCUGUUUCCUCAUAAUAUUGGUUACCUCCUGACAUUGUAUAUUCAUUGAUCUUGUCUCCCCCAAGAGAAGGGCAGCCCCAUGGGAGUAGGGAUGCUGUCUGUUUGGUGUAGUGCUGUAUGUUCAGCACUUUGGAUGGUGCCUGGCCCCCUCUGCCUCAAGGUGGGAGAACAUCAGUCAUAUAGACUGUAGAGCCCCUCUACCUGCAGUCAGGCAAGGACCACAUCCUUGUCCAGCUUCACCCUCUUCCCUGUCCUGCUUCCCUCCCUCCCUUGCAAGAGUUUCUGAGAAUGUCCCCACAAUAAAUUCAGUAUCACUGAGUCCUAUUCAGGAUCUGCUUCCAGAACAUCCAACUUGAUAUAUCUCUAUUAAAGUUACCUGUUUUUUUGUAUGUAUGAUUCGCUGAUAAUCUUUAAAUAAAGUCUUCUCCUCCAUAAAUUGGUACAUAUUAAAAUUACCUAAAACAAACAAGGAAGAUAAAGCCAUUUUUGAACAAUAAGUUUGGGGGUCUGGUGGGGGAGGAGUAUGCCAGCAGAUGAGGGUGGUGCCGAUCUAGGCAAACAAAAUGUUCCAGUAUUCCAAUUCUCUUUUCAAUGCUUUUUCCUGACCCAUGGAACAUGGAAGACUGAAUAGAAGCCUCUGCUGCAGCUGCAUCUGGAGGAAAAGCCCAGUUAUAAUUAAGGCAAAGGAGUGAAGGAAAUGAACAUGCAAUAAAGAGGUAGAGGGUAUGGAGAUUUUUGUUUAGCUUUGCAUGGAGGAUCUAGAGGGAAAAGUGGAAAGGUUUAGAAGUUCGGAGAGAAGGUGGAGGAGAGGAGGGGAAGCAGAACAGCACAGAGAGGAGAGUU